CUAGCUCAUGGGUUGGGUAAAAAAAUUUGUGGCUGUCUGUCAGCUAUAAAAUAAAACCGAAAUUACCAUGCAUUGGAAAAUAUGAAGAAAAAUGUGCACAAUACAUUUUGUACCAAAGUAGACCAUCAGUGAUUGAGGAAGGACUCUAUUAUUGAUCAGCAGGAACGUGGUUCCAUUGGCACACUCAGUGAGUUUGAGUCUGAGUGAGCUUUUAAAAUUUAGGCAACUUGAUUUCUGUCACCAUAUAAUCUUGUGUGUUUAAUUAUUAUGAAGUACAGCAACACAUGGGUUGGGUAAACAUUAUUUUGACCAAUGUUGAGGUUGGGUAAAUAAAAAAAUUACAGUGUUUUUCGCUUCUCUUCGGUACCAACCCCAG